rnacentral:ncRNA from 1 species
UUAAUUUGACUCAACACGGGGAAACUUACCAGGUCCAGACAUAGUAAGGAUUGACAGACUGAGAGCUCUUUCUAUUUUUUUUUGAUUGAAGAUGUAAAUAGUAUAAAUCAAAAAAGUCGUAGACA